rnacentral:rRNA from 1 species
GACGAACGCUGGCGGCGUGCUUAACACAUGCAAGUCGAACGGAAAGGCCCUGCUUUUGUGGGGUGCUCGAGUGGCGAACGGGUGAGUAACACGUGAGUAACCUGCCCUUGACUUUGGGAUAAAUUCAGGAAACUGGGGCUAAUACCGGAUAGGAGCUCCUGCAGCAUGGGGGGGGUUGGAAAGUUUCGGCGGUUGGGGAUGGACUCGCGGCUUAUCAGCUUGUUGGUGGGGUAGUGGCUUACCAAGGCUUUGACGGGUAGCCGGCCUGAGAGGGUGACCGGCCUCAUGGGGCCUGCGGUACGGCGCAGACGCCUACGGGAGGCAGCAGUGGGGAAUAUUGCACAAUGGGCGGAAGCCUGAUGCAGCAACGCCGCGUGCGUGAUGACGUCCUUCUGGUUGUAAACCGCUUUCGCCUGUGACGAGGCGUGAGUGACGGUACUGGGUAAAGAAGCACCGGCUAACUACGUG